UACGAAAGGGGGCUAGCGUUGCUCGGAAUCACUGGGCGUAAAGCGGCACGUAGGCGGAUUGUUAAGUCAGGGGUGAAAUCCUGGAGCUCAACUCCAGACUGCCUUGAUACUGGCGAUCUUGAGUCCGGGAGAGGUGGAGUGGAACUGGCGAGUGUAGAGGUGAAAAUUCGUAGAUAUUCGCAAGAACACCAGUGGCGAAGGCGGCUCACUGGCCCGAUACUGACGCUGAGGCACGAAAGCGUGGGGAGGCAAACAGGG
rnacentral:rRNA from 1 species